UACGUAGGGAGCAAGCGUUGUUCGGAUUUACUGGGCGUAAAGGGCGCGUAGGCGGCAAUUCAAGUCAGCUGUGAAAUCUCCGAGCUUAACUCGGAACGGUCAGCUGAUACUGCUUUGCUAGAGUGCAGAAGGGGCAAUCGGAAUUCUUGGUGUAGCGGUGAAAUGCGUAGAUAUCAAGAGGAACACCUGAGGUGAAGACGGGUUGCUGGGCUGACACUGACGCUGAGGCGCGAAAGCUAGGGUAGCAAACGGG
rnacentral:rRNA from 1 species